rnacentral:snRNA from 1 species
AGACUUAUCUGGCAGGGGAGAUACCAUGAUCAUGCAAGUGGUUUUCCCAGGGCAAGGCAUAUCUAUUGCACUCCUGAUGUGCUGACCCCUGCGAUUUCCCCAAAUGUGAGAAACUCGACUGUAUAAUUUGUGGUAGUAGAGUACUGUGUUCAUGCUCUUCCCUG